ensembl:lncRNA
CGGGCAUGAGAACUGGAAUGCCUAUCACGGUCAAGGCUGCAAGGCUGAAAUGCUGCUGACCCCUGAAUCUAGGACUAUCAGCAUGUUAAAUAACACCUGCUUUAGUCUCAGGGUCCCAGGAACUGGGAACAGACAGAAAUCUCUGGGGAGGAAUCAAGAAGCCCACUGGGGAAGGCUGAAGUCUACCAAAGAGGAUUGGUGACAUCAGGCUUGACAAACAAAUGACAACAGGGGUCGGCAAACUGGAAGGUCCAACGUGGACGUACAGUUUACCCCACGCAGGCAUGGAGAGGGGCCUAAAGGACGUGUCUUCCAUCCCGAGCUCACUGGCUGGUAGGAUGUGAAAGAAACGAGAAGUGCACAGUUGAAUCCCACAGUUUCCCGAUGGAAACUGAGCUGGGGUAAAACACAAGGAGACCAGGGCCAUGGUGAAGGUCUUCGAACAACAUCAUUCUUGACCUGGAUGCGUGAGGACAAUUAUUUGGCUGUAAAAAGAUGUUUCAGGGACAGAGGUAGAGUCCCCUCGCCCGCUGACAAACAAAUCCAUCAGAGCUCGGCGCUCCAGCCUCCGACUGGUCCUUCUAGGCCAUCUGCCGUAGGGCCACCAGAAUGGCAACUGGAUAAAGCAGGCAAACAAAAGCACCAACAAAACAAGGCCAGUUAAGAUUUUGUUACCUGAUUCAAAAAAAAAAAAAAAAAAAAAAAAAAGAA